GCACUCCAGCAAACCCUGUCCAUCUGCUCCAGUGCUGGGCCAGGGCAAUGAAUGGUGCCAUAGUGAUUCAAGGUAUAUCCAGACGAGCCUACCUUCUGUUGUGGCUUGUCUCUACAACUUUGACACAUGG